GUUUUCGGGCUUUCAGUUUCAGGGCUCGUCUCCGUCCUUAAAGACCGGGGAGAUAUAUAGCCAGGCCUUCCCUUCUUCUCCGCCGACCGCCGCCGCCAGGCGUUCUCCGUAAGCCCCAAACCCUAACAGCUCUCGCAGUCUCGGGUGCGAAUCUGCCCGCGUUUCUUCUCGAACUUCUUCUCUUUCUGCCAGACUUUUCUCUCCUUAUCGCUAAUCUGAUGUGUGUUCAUUGCUUUAAUUCGGAAAAGAAGGGAUGCUUUGUGCUGUCCUGCCAAGUGAUGCUGGGAUUAUUGCGCAAGGGCUUUGAGCAAUUCAUGGCUUGUUUCUGCCUGAUGCGAUGAGAUUAAAGUUAUGUGUUUUCCCUUUUGAUGGCAGCAGCUCGUUUCUCCCUUGGAUCCGUCGAAUUGUGAACUUGUCUUUGAGUUUCUUUUCGAGUUUUGCUUCGUAGGGUUGGGGUUUUGUAUUGUUGGGUGAGGCGGUGAUGUCAAAACAAUUUUUGAGUUGCCAAGUGAUGCUGGGAUUAUUGCGCAAGGGCUUUGAGCAUCAUAGGCAGUUGUGGCCUAAAUGCGGUGAGAUAAACGAUUUGUUUUCCCUUCUGAUGGCAACUUACUUACUAGUAACUUCAGGAAUAAACUGCCUUGCUCAGUACAAACGUAGAUGCAGUGCUAUGUCGGUAAUUUGCAUUCGUUUUAUGCUAUAUCCAUAAUGCAUAUUGAGGCAGAGGCAGUAAUGUUUGCCCUACCUUUAAUUUUAAGAAAAAGAGUAAUAUUUGUUAUGUUUGACAUCAAAUGUUACUUACUAGUACUAUCAUUAGUAGCACUGCAAACGUUUAUUCAACUAGACCGCCUAAGCUCAGUAUUGAUCUGAUAAGAAUGGCAUAACAGAUGGGCUUGACUUAUGCUAGCAUGCUAAAACCAAUAGAUACCAUACACCUUAGAAUUUGGACAGUUUCUGAUUCUAGAAAUCAAAUUGGACAGUUUCUGAUUCUAGAUCCUUUAUUCAGCAUCUUGAGCAGUACUGUAAUGCAGACCUACAUAAAAAAUUGCCCAUAUCAGUAGAUUAUAAAGAAUUAUACUAGAUAUGGCUGGCGGCUGGCCUUUUUGUUUUGUACUACUUCACUAUGAGUGCUCGUGUUGCUAAAAAAAUGACAGCGCUUGAUAUGCUAGUUAACACCGGCAAAUUAACUUGACAUUUUUUCCACAGAGACAGAGGUACACAUUACUUUACAUAAUCAUCCUCGAUAUUUUCUCCCAUUUUGGUUGAAUUAGUGCCGCUAGCAAUUCGUAUGAAAUUGGAACAGUUUGGAUUAUGACAAUUAUACAUCAAGUUCUUCAUCCUGGCAGCUACCAUGCGGAGUGGUGGGCACUUUUGUUAAAUAUUGACCAUUAUUCUUUCAACAGGGAACAUGUUGCAUUAAAGUACAAAAUCCGCUGCAAUUAUGAUUCCUGCGAAAUUGGAAUAGUUUGGAUUAUGACAAUUAUUCAUCCAGGCUGCUAUCAUGUCAGCCCCUCUCUGCACAGUGAAUACUUUCAUUAAACAGUGUUGACAAUUUUUCUUUCA